rnacentral:piRNA from 1 species
UAGCAAGAAAGGGAAGCUGCCUAUCGU